UCCGGUUGAUCCCGCCGGACCCCACUGCUAUCGGGAUAGGACUAAGACAUGCUAGUCAAGUGAUUCAGGCAAAACGAGUCACGGCACACAGCUCAGUAACACGUGGCUAAUCUGCCCUUAGGACGAGAACAACCCCGGGAAACUGGGGCUAACUCUCGAUAGGCGAAGAACUCUGGAAUGAGUCUUUACCUAAAUAGUGCAACGUUAUCCUCGUUACAUCGCCUAAGGAUGAGGCCGCGACCGAUCAGGUUGUUGGCGAGGUAAUGGCUCACCAAGCCUUUUACCGGUGCGGGCCGUGAGAGCGGGAGCCCGGAGAUGGGCACUGAGACAAGGGCCCAGGCCCUACGGGGCGCAGCAGUCGCGAAAACUUUGCAAUAAGCGAAAGCUUGACAGGGCUAUCCCGAGUGCCAUCCGCUGAGGAAGGCUUUUACCCAGUCUAGAACGCUGGGGGAAUAAGGAGAGGGCAAGUCUGGUGUCAGCCGCCGCGGUAAUACCAGCUCUCCGAGUGGUGUGGAUGUUUAUUGGGCCUAAAGCAUCCGUAGCUGGCUAGGUCAGUCCCUUGUUAAAUCCACCGAAUUAAUCGUUGGAUUGCGGGGGAUACUGCUUGGCUAGGGGACGAGAGAGGCAGACGGUAUUUUCGGGGUAGGGGUGAAAUCCUAUAAUCCCGGGAAGACCACCAGUGGCGAAGGCUGUCUGCUAGAACGCGCCCGACGGUGAGGGAUGAAAGCUGGGGGAGCGAACCGGAUUAGAUACCCGGGUAGUCCCAGCUGUAAACGAUGCAGACUGUGUUUGGACGGCCACGUGCCGUUCUAGUGCCGCAGGGAAGCUGUUAAGUCUGCUCGCCUGGGGAGUACGAUCGCAAGAUUGAAACUUAAAGGAAU
rnacentral:rRNA from 1 species